rnacentral:rRNA from 1 species
UACGAAGGGGGGCUAGCGUUGCUCGGAAUGACUGGGCGUAAAGGGCGCGUAGGCGUUUGACAGUCAGGUGUGAAAUUCCCGGGCUCAACCUGGGGGCUGCACUUGAUACGUAUGGACUGGAGUGGGGAAGAGGGUCGUGGAAUUCCCAGUGUAGAGGUGAAAUUCGUAGAUAUUGGGAAGAACACCGGUGGCGAAGGCGGCGACCUGGUCCUUGACUGACGCUGAGGCGCGAAAGCGUGGGGAGCAAACAGG